CACCUCCUACUCAUUUGCUUUCACUUAAGUGUCUGGCCCGCAAUACUGUAGGAACAAGCAUGACCUUGUUACUGUGAGAUUUAAAAUAUCCACAGUAUUCACUUUUUCCAAAUGAUCCUAGUAAUUGCCUAGAAAUAUCUUUCUCUUACCUGUUAUUUAUCAAUUUUUCCCAAUAUUUUUAUACGGAAAAAAUUGUAUUGAGAACACUUAGUAUGCAGUUGAUAAGAGGAAUUUGGUAUAAUUAUGGUGGGUGAUUAUUUUUUAUACUGUAUGUGCCAAAGCUUUACUACUGUGGAAAGACAGCUGUUUUAAUAAAAGAUUUACAUUCCAAAAAAAAAAAAAAAAAAAA
rnacentral:lncRNA from 1 species